AAUCUUCUGUAUCCGUGCUGAGAUUCCGUCACACACCAGACCACAAGGGCUGAUGAGACUCUCAAAGCAUUAUAUU
rnacentral:pre_miRNA from 1 species